UUAAGCGACUAAGCGUACACGGUGGAUGCCCUGGCAGUCAGAGGCGAUGAAGGACGUGCUAAUCUGCGAUAAGCGUCGGUAAGGUGAUAUGAACCGUUAUAACCGGCGAUUUCCGAAUGGGGAAACCCAGUGUGUUUCGACACACUAUCAUUAACUGAAUCCAUAGGUUAAUGAGGCGAACCGGGGGAACUGAAACAUCUAAGUACCCCGAGGAAAAGAAAUCAACCGAGAUUCCCCCAGUAGCGGCGAGCGAACGGGGAGCAGCCCAGAGCCUGAAUCAGUGUGUGUGUUAGUGGAAGCGUCUGGAAAGGCGCGCGAUACAGGGUGACAGCCCCGUACACAAAAAUGCACAUGCUGUGAGCUCGAUGAGUAGGGCGGGACACGUGGUAUCCUGUCUGAAUAUGGGGGGACCAUCCUCCAAGGCUAAAUACUCCUGACUGACCGAUAGUGAACCAGUACCGUGAGGGAAAGGCGAAAAGAACCCCGGCGAGGGGAGUGAAAAAGAACCUGAAACCGUGUACGUACAAGCAGUGGGAGCACGCUUAGGCGUGUGACUGCGUACCUUUUGUAUAAUGGGUCAGCGACUUAUAUUCUGUAGCAAGGUUAACCGAAUAGGGGAGCCGAAGGGAAACCGAGUCUUAACUGGGCGUUAAGUUGCAGGGUAUAGACCCGAAACCCGGUGAUCUAGCCAUGGGCAGGUUGAAGGUUGGGUAACACUAACUGGAGGACCGAACCGACUAAUGUUGAAAAAUUAGCGGAUGACUUGUGGCUGGGGGUGAAAGGCCAAUCAAACCGGGAGAUAGCUGGUUCUCCCCGAAAGCUAUUUAGGUAGCGCCUCGUGAAUUCAUCUCCGGGGGUAGAGCACUGUUUCGGCAAGGGGGUCAUCCCGACUUACCAACCCGAUGCAAACUGCGAAUACCGGAGAAUGUUAUCACGGGAGACACACGGCGGGUGCUAACGUCCGUCGUGAAGAGGGAAACAACCCAGACCGCCAGCUAAGGUCCCAAAGUCAUGGUUAAGUGGGAAACGAUGUGGGAAGGCCCAGACAGCCAGGAUGUUGGCUUAGAAGCAGCCAUCAUUUAAAGAAAGCGUAAUAGCUCACUGGUCGAGUCGGCCUGCGCGGAAGAUGUAACGGGGCUAAACCAUGCACCGAAGCUGCGGCAGCGACGCUUAUGCGUUGUUGGGUAGGGGAGCGUUCUGUAAGCCUGCGAAGGUGUGCUGUGAGGCAUGCUGGAGGUAUCAGAAGUGCGAAUGCUGACAUAAGUAACGAUAAAGCGGGUGAAAAGCCCGCUCGCCGGAAGACCAAGGGUUCCUGUCCAACGUUAAUCGGGGCAGGGUGAGUCGACCCCUAAGGCGAGGCCGAAAGGCGUAGUCGAUGGGAAACAGGUUAAUAUUCCUGUACUUGGUGUUACUGCGAAGGGGGGACGGAGAAGGCUAUGUUGGCCGGGCGACGGUUGUCCCGGUUUAAGCGUGUAGGCUGGUUUUCCAGGCAAAUCCGGAAAAUCAAGGCUGAGGCGUGAUGACGAGGCACUACGGUGCUGAAGCAACAAAUGCCCUGCUUCCAGGAAAAGCCUCUAAGCAUCAGGUAACAUCAAAUCGUACCCCAAACCGACACAGGUGGUCAGGUAGAGAAUACCAAGGCGCUUGAGAGAACUCGGGUGAAGGAACUAGGCAAAAUGGUGCCGUAACUUCGGGAGAAGGCACGCUGAUAUGUAGGUGAGGUCCCUCGCGGAUGGAGCUGAAAUCAGUCGAAGAUACCAGCUGGCUGCAACUGUUUAUUAAAAACACAGCACUGUGCAAACACGAAAGUGGACGUAUACGGUGUGACGCCUGCCCGGUGCCGGAAGGUUAAUUGAUGGGGUUAGCGCAAGCGAAGCUCUUGAUCGAAGCCCCGGUAAACGGCGGCCGUAACUAUAACGGUCCUAAGGUAGCGAAAUUCCUUGUCGGGUAAGUUCCGACCUGCACGAA
rnacentral:rRNA from 1 species